rnacentral:rRNA from 1 species
GGGGGAACCUGCGGAGGGAUCAUUACCGAGUUUACAACUCCCAAACCCCUGUGAACAUACCACUUGUUGCCUCGGCGGAUCAGCCCGCUCCCGGUAAAACGGGACGGCCCGCCAGAGGACCCCUAAACUCUGUUUCUAUAUGUAACUUCUGAGUAAAACCAUAAAUAAAUCAAAACUUUCAACAACGGAUCUCUUGGUUCUGGCAUCGAUGAAGAACGCAGCAAAAUGCGAUAAGUAAUGUGAAUUGCAGAAUUCAGUGAAUCAUCGAAUCUUUGAACGCACAUUGCGCCCGCCAGUAUUCUGGCGGGCAUGCCUGUUCGAGCGUCAUUUCAACCCUCAAGCACAGCUUGGUGUUGGGACUCGCGUUAAUUCGCGUUCCUCAAAUUGAUUGGCGGUCACGUCGAGCUUCCAUAGCGUAGUAGUAAAACCCUCGNUUCUGGUAAUCCGUCGCGGCCACGCCGUUAAACCCCAACUUUUGAAUGUUGACCUUGG